rnacentral:rRNA from 1 species
UACGGGGGGGGCAAGCGUUGUUCGGAAUUACUGGGCGUAAAGGGCUCGUAGGUGGCCAACUAAGUCAGACGUGAAAUCCCUCGGCUUAACCGGGGAACUGCGUCUGAUACUGGAUGGCUGGAGUUUGGGAGAGGGAUGCGGAAUUCCAGGUGUAGCGGUGAAAUGCGUAGAUAUCAAGAGGAACACCUGAGGUGAAGACGGGUUGCUGGGCCGACACUGACGCUGAGUGCGCGAAAGCCAGGGGAGCAAACGGG